GACGAACGCUGGCGGCGUGCUUAACACAUGCAAGUCGAACGGAAAGGCACUGCUUUUGUGGGGUGCUCGAGUGGCGAACGGGUGAGUAACACGUGAGUAACCUGCCCUUGACUUUGGGAUAACUUCAGGAAACUGGGGCUACUACCGGAUAGGAGCUCCUGCUGCAUGGUGGGGGGUGGAAAGUUUCGGCGGGUGGGGAUGGACUCGCGGCUUAUCAGCUUGUUGGUGGGGUAGUGGCUUACCAAGGCUUUGACGGGUAGCCGGCCUGAGAGGGUGACCGGCCACAUGGGGACUGAGAUACGGCCCAGACUCCUACGGGAGGCAGCAGUGGGGAAUAUUGCACAAUGGGCGGAAGCCUGAUGCAGCAACGCCGCGUGCGGGAUGACGGCCUUCGGGUUGUAAACCGCUUUCGCCUGUGACGAAGCGUGAGUGACGGUAAUGGGUAAAGAAGCACCGGCUAACUACGUG
rnacentral:rRNA from 1 species